GACUGCCUCCGCGUUGGCUGGGCGCCAAGGGCUCGUCAAUCUGGGGGCGGAAGACGCAGGAGGGGCGCUGUGACCAGCACUUUGUGCGUCUGGGGUUGCUGCGGGGAGAAGGCAGAAGAAAGGUAAGAUACUUGAGAGAACAUUUGAAGAAAAGUCAUUUUACACUUGCAAGAUAUUGACUAUGGAAUCAUGAAAACAUGAUGGCAAAGCCAUGUGGAACUUUGCCUCCGAGAGGUUAAGUGACUGGCCUUACAUUGUAGCCAACUGAGGACCUAGAAAUAACUCUGGCUCAUAAUUUUUCAUCAAAUGCCUUUUGGAAUUGUAACUAACUAGUUGCUCUGGUAGGUAAGUAUGCUGUCAGAUCCGUGAUUGCUGUUGUUUCCAAUGAUUAAAUUUUAACCAUUCUAACUAGGAAUUUUCUGGCAAUAAAAAAUGUCCACCUUAAGAGAUCCCCGGCCUUUAGUACUUCAUUUUUGGUCCACGAGGUGGCGACGUUCUACAACAAAUGAUGUUUUCAGCUGUUUUGUUUGUUUUUUGUUUUUUGUUUUUUUCUUAAUAGCUCAAGGCUGGAAUGUGUAGUUUUUACAUCUUUCCAAUCCUAUUUGAUAAUUUUUCAUACAAUUUUCUCUUACCUUUUGGCAUCAUGGAAAAUAUCUUUUAAAUAUUGUAACUUAAAUGUAUUUACAUCUUUAAAAUAAUAAUAAAAUGCCUUUUUAUUUUUAAUCAAUGGCUUUUAAUGGCUUUUUAAUCAAUGUAGCUCUAUUAGCUUAAACCAAAAACCAGUGAGCCUUUAAAAAAAGAAACCUACUUCUGAGAAGAUAAUACCAUAGGUCACUUUCAUUCGUCACAUUUGAGGACUUUUUUCAGUUCAAAUGAAAAGAGCGUAGACAUUGCAAUUUACUAAAAUAAAAAUUCAUUUAUUCAUUAAGCAAAAGUUAAGUGCCUAAGUCUGGUCAGUAUACGUUAAUACUUGACUAUCAAUACUAAAGUUGAAU